rnacentral:rRNA from 1 species
UGCAAGUCGAACGGUAACGAUGGAAAGCUUGCUUUCCAGGCGACGAGUGGCGGACGGGUGAGUAAUGCAUAGGAAUCUGCCCAGUAGCGGGGGACAACCUGGUGAAAACCAGGCUAAUACCGCAUACGCCCCCUGGUUUAAUCACUGGGGGGGAAAGCGGGGGACCUUCGGGCCUCGCACUAUUGGAUGAGCCUAUGUCUGAUUAGCUAGUUGGUAGGGUAAAAGCCUACCAAGGCGACGAUCAGUAGCUGGUCUGAGAGGAUGAUCAGCCACACUGGGACUGAGACACGGCCCAGACUCCUACGGGAGGCAGCAGUGGGGAAUAUUGGACAAUGGGCGCAAGCCUGAUCCAGCAAUGCCGCGUGUGUGAAGAAGGCCUGAGGGUUGUAAAGCACUUUCAAUUGUGAAGAAAAGUUUAAGGUUAAUAACCUUAAACCGUGACGUUAACUUUAGAAGAAGCACCGGCUAACUCCGUGCCAGCAGCCGCGGUAAUACGGAGGGUGCGAGCGUUAAUCGGAAUUACUGGGCGUAAAGCGUGCGUAGGUGGCUUAGUAAGUCGGAUGUGAAAGCCCUGGGCUCAACCUGGGAACUGCAUUCGAUACUGCCAGGCUAGAGUAUGGUAGAGGGAAGUGGAAUUUCCGGUGUAGCGGUGAAAUGCGUAGAUAU